UCCACUGAAGGGAAUGGGCCAACCCAGGUCUGCCUGGGGCUAUCUAGCUGGCUGAGUAGCUGGAAGGCAGUUAAAUGAGGCACACCUGAGCCUACUCAAAGGCUUUGGAGAGCUCAGCUGGAACCAAGCUCCUGAGGAGAAAGGAUGCUUCUGAGCAGGGACACUCCUAAGGAGCCUUCACUAGGCAAAAGCUUUCUGGACUCCUAUGAUCUACAAAAGAGAUUUUAUUAAUGAACAGACACAGGCUUCCUUUCCUUUGGACAUCACAUGAUGCCUGUGCAGAGAAACUCCAAUCUCCUUGUCGAAAUAUUACUUGAUCUUCUCCUUUCCCAAAUGCAUAUUUUGCGGCUAGAUUUUUUCUUUGACUAUCAAGGGAUGGCUGAUGAUGGGUCCAUCACUUGUCCUGAAACCACUGAUUCUCAUCUCUGCAGGGACCAACCAAUGUACGGUUACAAAGGGAAAUAGUUUUUCCAGUCUCCAACAUAAAAGUCCAUACUGCUGAAAGGACCAUUGCUCCCGCUGAGCCCUUCCUUGCCAGCAAUCUAGGCAAGGUUCUCUGUUCCACCAGUAGCAGGCAGCAGCCAAAGCUGCUCUUGCCCUAAAGACUGCACAUCAAACUGGGACUGCCAAAACCAGAAUAUCUUAAAAUUAAAAGGACAAGAAUGCAA